GAUGAACGCUGGCGGCGUGCUUAACACAUGCAAGUCGAACGAAGCACUUUAUUUGAUUUCCUUCGGGACUGAUUAUUUUGUGACUGAGUGGCGUACGGGUGAGUAACGCGUGGGUAACCUGCCUUGUACAGGGGGUUAACAGUUGGACACGGCUGCUAAUACCGCAUAAGCGCACGGCAUCGCAUGCUGCAGUGUGAAAAACUCCUGUGGCAUAAGAUGGACCCGCGUUGGAUUGGCUAGUUGGUGAGGUAACGGCCCACCAAGGCGGCGACCCAUAGCCGAGCUGGGAGGGUGACCGGCAACAUUGGGACUGGGACACGGCCCGAACUCCUACGGGAGGCAGCAGUGGGGAAUAUUGCACAAUGGGCGAAAGCCUGAUGCAGCGACGCCGCGUGAGCGAAGAAGUAGUUAGGUAUGUAAAGCUCUAUCAGCAGGGAAGAUAAUGACGGUACCUGACGAAGAAGCACCGGCUAAAUACGUG
rnacentral:rRNA from 1 species